rnacentral:rRNA from 1 species
GAUGAACGCUAGCGGGAGGCUUAAUACAUGCAAGUCGAGGGGUAACAGCAGAGUUUACUUUGGCUGACGACCGGCGCACGGGUGAGUAACGCGUACACUACCUACCUUUAAGAGGGGGAUAGCCUCGGGAAACUGAGAUUAAUACCCCAUAAUAUCGAGAGAUUAAAGGCUUCGGCUGCUUAAAGAUGGGUGUGCGUCCUAUUAGCUAGUUGGUAAGGUAAUGGCUUACCAAGGCUACGAUAGGUAGGGGGCGUGAGAGCGUGACCCCCCACACGGGUACUGAGACACGGACCCGACUCCUACGGGAGGCAGCAGUAAGGAAUAUUGGACAAUGGGCGCAAGCCUGAUCCAGCCAUCCCGCGUGUAGGAUGACUGCCCUAUGGGUUGUAAACUACUUUUAGAAGGGAAGAAACCCUUGGAUUUAUCCGAGGCUGACGGUACCUUCAGAAUAAGCACCGGCUAACUCCG